UGAGGAAUAUUGGUCAAUGGACGCAAGUCUGAACCAGCCAAGUAGCGUGCAGGAUGACGGCCCUAUGGGUUGUAAACUGCUUUUAUAUGGGGAUAAAGUGGGGAACGUGUUCCCUUUUGCAGGUACCAUAUGAAUACGGACCGGCUAAUUCCGUGCCAGCAGCCGCGGUAAUACGGAAGGUUCGGGCGUUAUCCGGAUUUAUUGGGUUUAAAGGGAGCGUAGGCAGUUUGGUAAGCGUGUUGUGAAAUGUAGGAGCUCAACUUCUAGAUUGCAGCGCGAACUGUCAGACUUGAGUGCGCACAACGUAGGCGGAAUUCAUGGUGUAGCGGUGAAAUGCUUAGAUAUCAUGAAGAACUCCGAUUGCGAAGGCAGCUUACGGGAGCGCAACUGACGCUGAAGCUCGAAGGUGCGGGUAUCGAACAGG
rnacentral:rRNA from 1 species